ACACUGAACAUUGAGCCUUGAUGUGUAGGAUAGGUGGGAGGCUUUGAAGUGUGGACGCCAGUCUGCAUGGAGCCGACCUUGAAAUACCACCCUUUAAUGUUUGAUGUUCUAACGUUGACCCGUGAUCCGGGUUGCGGACAGUGUCUGGUGGGUAGUUUGACUGGGGCGGUCUCCUCCUAAAGAGUAACGGAGGAGCACGAAGGUUGGCUAAUCCUGGUCGGACAUCAGGAGGUUAGUGCAAUGGCAUAAGCCAGCUUGACUGCGAGCGUGACGGCGCGAGCAGGUGCGAAAGCAGGUCAUAGUGAUCCGGUGGUUCUGAAUGGAAGGGCCAUCGCUCAACGGAUAAAAGGUACUCCGGGGAUAACAGGCUGAUACCGCCCAAGAGUUCAUAUCGACGGCGGUGUUUGGCACCUCGAUGUCGGCUCAUCACAUCCUGGGGCUGAAGUAGGUCCCAAGGGUAUGGCUGUUCGCCAUUUAAAGUGGUACGCGAGCUGGGUUUAGAACGUCGUGAGACAGUUCGGUCCCUAUCUGCCGUGGGCGCUGGAGAACUGAGGGGGGCUGCUCCUAGUACGAGAGGACCGGAGUGGACGCAUCACUGGUGUUCGGGUUGUCAUGCCAAUGGCACUGCCCGGUAGCUAAAUGCGGAAGAGAUAAGUGCUGAAAGCAUCUAAGCACGAAACUUGCC
rnacentral:rRNA from 1 species